GACGAACGCUGGCGGCGUGCUUAACACAUGCAAGUCGAACGGUAAGGCCCUUCGGGGUACACGAGUGGCGAACGGGUGAGUAACACGUGGGUGAUCUGCCCUGCACUUCGGGAUAAGCCUGGGAAACUGGGUCUAAUACCGGAUAGGACCACUGCCUGCAUGGGCGGUGGUGGAAGGCUUUUGCGGUGUGGGAUGGGCCCGAGGCCUAUCAGCUUGUUGGUGGGGUGAUGGCCUACCAAGGCGACGACGGGUAGCCGGCCUGAGAGGGUGACCGGCCACACUGGGACUGAGAUACGGCCCAGACUCCUACGGGAGGCAGCAGUGGGGAAUAUUGCACAAUGGGCGCAAGCCUGAUGCAGCGACGCCGCGUGAGGGAUGACGGCCUUCGGGUUGUAAACCUCUUUCAGCACCGACGAAGCGCAAGUGACGGUAGGUGCAGAAGAAGGACCGGCCAACUACGUGCCAGCAGCCGCAGUAA
rnacentral:rRNA from 1 species